rnacentral:rRNA from 1 species
CCCUUAGAUGUUCUGGGCCGCACGCGCGCUACACUGAAGGCAUCAGCGUGUCCUUCCCUCCCCGAGAGGGGCGGGUAACCCGCUGAACCGCUUUCGUGGUAGGGAUCGGGGCUUGCAAUUAUUCCCCGUGAACCAGGAAUUCCCAGUAAGCGCGAGUCAUAAGCUCGCGUUGAUUACGUCCCUGCCCUUUGUACACACCGCCCGUCGCUACUACCGAUUGAACGUUUUAGUGGGGUAUUUGGAUCGGACCUGAAGGGGUUCACGCCCUUUCUGUGUCUGAGAAGACUCCCAAACUUGAGCGUUUAGAGGAAGUAAAAGUCGUAACA